rnacentral:rRNA from 1 species
GACAGAGGGUGCAAACGUUGUUCGGAAUUACUGGGCGCAAAGCGCGUGUAGGCGGCCAGCGUAAGUCGGGCGUGAAAGCCCCAGGCUCAACCUGGGAACUGCACUCGAAACUGCGUUUCUUGAGUAUCGGAGAGGAAAGCGGAAUACCUGGUGUAGAGGUGAAAUUCGUAGAUAUCAGGUGGAACACCAGUGGCGAAGGCGGCUUUCUGGACGAUUACUGACGCUGAGACGCGAAAGCGUGGGGAGCAAACAGG